CCUACGGGAGGCUGCAGUGGGGAAUAUUGGACAAUGGGGGGAACCCUGAUCCAGCCAUGCCGCGUGUGUGAAGAAGGCCCUCGGGUUGUAAAGCACUUUCAGUGAGGAAGAACGCCUGGUGGUUAAUACCCAUCAGGAAAGACAUCACUCACAGAAGAAGCACCGGCUAACUCCGUGCCCGCAGCCGCGGUAAUACGGAGGGUGCGAGCGUUAAUCGGAAUUACUGGGCGUAAAGCGCGCGUAGGUGGCUUGAUAAGCCGGUUGUGAAAGCCCCGGGCUCAACCUGGGAACGGCAUCCGGAACUGUCAAGCUUGAGUGCAGGAGAGGAAGGUAGAAUUCCCGGUGUAGCGGUGAAAUGCGUAGAGAUCGGGAGGAAUACCAGUGGCGAAGGCGGCCUUCUGGACUGACACUGACACUGAGGUGCGAAAGCGUGGGUAGCAAACAGGAUUAGAUACCCCAGUAGUC
rnacentral:rRNA from 1 species